AGCUACCGGAAGUGGUACUGUGGCUCAAGUGGUACAGCACUAGCCUUGAGCUGAAGAGCUGAGGGACAGCGCCCAGGCCUGCGGUUCAGGCUCUACAACCA